GUGUGUGUGUCCGUUCCCUCCAUCUUCCCCAGCACAGGCUCCUGACAGGAAAACCCCUGAGCUGACUCACCCAGCCCCACCCCUGAUGCUGUUACAGCCUUUCUCGGCUGCUGUAGCUCUUUCUAGAUGUGAGCUCAUUGAAAAAGACUAAGGCCAAUUUUCCUCAUCAGAAACUUGGGCGGUUUUAUUGCUGCAUGGGUGUCUGGCUGGGAACAGAAUGAACUUGUCCAGCCUUGCUUGAAAAUGGCCUUCUGUCAUGGAGAUAGAGGGUAGAAGGAUGAGUACCAGAAGCUGGGAAGGGUAGUGAGGGGGUGGGGAGGAGAUGGGGAUGGUUAAUGGGUACAAAAUAGAUAGUUAGAAAGAAUGAAUUAAGACCUAGUAUUUGAUAGCACAAUAUGGGGACUAUAGUAAAUCGUAACUUAAUUGUACAUUCUAACAUAACUAAAAGAGUAUAACUGGAUUGUUAACAGGAGGGACGAAUGCUUGAGGGGAUAGAUACCGCAUUUUCCAUGAUGCGAGUAUUACACAUUGCAUGCCUGUAUCAGAGCGUCUCAUAUACCCCAUAAAUAUAUGCACCUACUAUGUAUCCACAAAAAUCAAAAAUAAAAAUAAAUAAAAGUAUGGCCAUUCUGAACUAGCUGAUAUAAAAGGAAAAAGUUUCCCAGAGAGGCUUCCUGAUGCCUCUCCAAUAGGGGUGGAAGCGGGGAUGGGCGACGUGGGCCCUCCAUGGUGACUUUGCCAUGGAUUCAGAAUCCCCUGCCAAGUCUCCUCUCCUUUUUGUGCUCAAGAGCUUUUGGUGUCUAUGGCAGUCAGCAAAAUAGGGAUAAUAAUACAACUAACAGGGUUGUUGUGAGUUUUAAAUGAGAUGCUCAAAGGUGCCUAAUGCACAGGAAAUACUCAAUACACUUUAUUUUUAUUUUAUUUUAGCAUUAUCUUCUCCAUUUCCUCUCUCUUGAGAGGAAGGUUAGACUCAUCUCUGACCAAUCCAGAGAGAGCUAACAUAAUUCCCCAGAAAAUUAAUAUUAUUCCUCCCCAUGGCAUCAUGGAUGUUGAGAGCUGCAGACAAUGUGGAGGUCUCUGCCCCAGGCUGUCCCUCUUCAUUCAGAAAAUAUCAAAGACCACCUGUCUCCAAUGGCUUUCUAUGGUGAGGAUACUCUAUCCUGCUCUUUAUGGAUAUUAUCUAUUAAUUUCCCCAUUUGACAGAAGGGGAACCUAAGUCUAAGGGAUCAUGUGACUUGCCAAGAUCCCAUGAAUAACUAACUUGUUACCAGAACUGGGACUCCAAAGUAAGCAUUUUAAACAUUCCAUUCUUGAGAUGGGUGCAGUGGCUCAUGCCUGUAAUCCCAGCAUUUUAGGAGACCGAGGUGGGAAGAUUGCUUGAGGCCAGGAGUUCAAGACCAGCCUGGCCAAUGUGGCAAAAUCCUACACUACAAAAAUUUGCCAGGUGUGGUGGUGCAUGCCUGUAAUUCCAGCUACUUAGGAGGCUGAGGCACGAGAACCCCUGAACCCAGGAGGCAAAGGUUGCAGUGAGCCAAUAUCAUGCCACUGCACUCCAGUUAGCAUUUAUUGGGUGUGUGUUGGCUGCCAUACUUUCUUUGAAAAGCUCCCUGCAUAUUAACUCAGUCAAUCCUGAUUUUGAUCUUGUGAGGGAGGUACUGUUACGUUCCCACUUCCUAGGUGAGGUAUUGGAGACUCAGGUCACUACUUUGUCCCCACAAGCUAAUAAAUGAGAGACUGGUACCUAUUAUAACUGAUGCCAAAGCCCUGGCAUCCUCUUUCCUCUUAGGAAUUGCAUAAUCUGUAUUCCUACGAAGAUCCAUGAGCCUAGCGGGUGCAAUGGUACAUUCAGCCCUGUAACCAGUGGUUAUGACUUGGACAGCUCUGUCCCUCUCCACUCAGCAGAGCCCACUGCCAAUCCCUGGAGCUGAGGAGGCAAGCACACUAUGGCUGUCACCCUGAAGAUGCCCCAAAGUCUGUAGACAAGACAAACCCCAGUCUGGAACAAAAGCUGGCUGCGAAUGAUCCAUCAGCAUUCCUAAGUAGGCCACGCUGCGCCAUUCACAGUUCCCUCCUACCGUACGUGAUAAGCUGUGACAUAUGGUGUUCAUUUACGCCUCCAUUCCCGCAGAAAUAUGGCUGGCACCAUCAAUUUCCCUGUUUGUGCUGUGACCCACUGUUCCUGGGUUAAGCAGCCUGCCUUGUCUACAUUUGUCAGUUGAUACAAGCUUCUCCCUGCCAUAGGCACCACUAUUGAUGAACGUCGUCAGAAUAUGGAACUUUGAACAAUGUAUAAAGGAUUCCACAUGCAAAGUCUCCCCAGGAAGAGGUGGGGUGGGUGGGGGUGGGGAGAGGGAGUGUUAGAUGUUUUCUCUGUUGGAGUGCCUUCAUUUACAAAGCAUAUUUUUCAAGUCUUUUGCUAAGAGUAAUGCCAUGGAGCAGCCUCCCAUCAUUCUUGUUAAUAGGACUGUCUGUGUGUUACAGUAAACAGCUAUAACUCUUCUGUUGGAGCCGUUGUGCAGCAGGCAGAGUUUGUUCAGUAUCCAAUUAAGGGUGUCUCCAAUUUGCCAGCCAGGAUCAUGAGAGCUGUGACUCAGCCAUCAGGCAACCUGGGCAUUGUGGAGGCUUCUCAAAGUAGAGAGGGCUGAUGCCCUUCCUCCUCCGCAGCAAGGGGACUGGAGCCUGGCUCUAGACGAUCUCUGUUUUGUUUUGUUUUGUUUUGUUUUGUUUUGUUUUGUUUUGUUUUUACAUGGAGUUUCGCUCUUGUUGCCCAGGCUGGAGCAUAGUGGUGCGAUCUUGGCUCACGGCAACCUCUGCCUCACGGGUUCAAGUGAUUUUCCUGCCUCAGCCUCCCAAGUAGCUGGGAUUACAAGAGUGUGCCACCACGCCUAGCUAAUCUUGCAUUUUCAGUGGAGACAGGGUUUCAACAUGUUGGUCAGGCUGGUCUCAAACUCCUGACCUCAAGUGAUUCAGCCGCCUCGCCUCCCAAAGUGCUGGGAUUACAGGUGUGAGGCACCACAUCCGACCUCUGCUCUUCCUCAAAGGCCACCAAAUCAUGCCAGCUAACUGUGCAAAGAUGUUAGCCUGAUAGUCAAAGCUCUUCCCAGACUCUUAUAAACAUAGAAGAACAUAGCGGUUAAGAACAUGAGCUCUGCAGCAGGAUUACACGGAUUCCAAUCUCAGCUCAGCCACAUACUAGCUGUGUGAUGUUGGGUAAGUUACUUAACUUCUUUGAACCAUGUUGUCUCACGUUUAAAAAGGGACAAAUCAUAGCACUGGCUUCAUACAGUUGAUUUGAGAAUCAAAUGAUGCAUGAUACACAUUUAAACCACCACUACCCUCACAUCAUCGUCAUUUACUAGGCUUGGAUACAUCUCGUUCCUCACCUCUCUGUGUCCAGUUGAUUAGUAUUCAUCUUUCAAGCUCCAUCUCAAAUUCCACCCCCUGAUGACUGUAAUCAACAGGGACUCUUCUCUCCAUUAAUAGCCAUAGUGGAGGAGUGGGGACUUACCAUGUACCACGUCCAUACCUGACUCUUAUAACUACCCUAUAAAGUAGGUUCUAUCUCCUUAUUUUACAGAUGAGAACAUUGAGGCCUAGGGCAUUUCAAUAGCUUGCCAAAGGGCUCAUCAUUCUCGGGUAACAGGAUGAGGCCAGACACCAAGGAUCCCUGGAUCCAUGCCCUACUCUCCACACUUGUCUUGGGUCUAUGAAGCCCCCAGUCCCAAGAUGCUGAGAACCUGAGAUAUCACUCAUCUCAUCUUCCUGAAUUUUAUGAACUAAGAAGCGAAAGCUCACCCAAAGCCAUUUAUAGAGUCUAUGGAAAAAGAAGGACUAGACCCUGGAUUCCGUGAUUUACAGAGAUAUAAAGGGUGGCUGGUGCCAUUCUUCCAAAAGGAAAGCUGUCAUCUUUACUCACUCAGUCCUCAGCAAACUAUCUGAGCACUAUUUUUGUGCCUCAUCUGGGAGCUGGGGAGUCAGUGAUGGGCAAGAUAUGGUCUUUACUUGCAAAAUUCCCAUAGCACAUUGGAGAAGAAAAAACAGCAAUCAGGUAUGUGCGCUACAGGGGGGUGCAUGCUGCAACCACCAGCAUCAACAACAACAUGCAUUGAAUGCUUCAUGUAUAUCAAGUGCUCUCUCUCCUAAGAGAUAUGAAUGCAUUAACCCCAUUUACUCCUCAAGACUAGAAACAAACACUUUAUAAUUUGCUACGGACUGAAAAUUUGUGUCCCCCUAAAAUGUAUAUGUGGAAGUCUUAAUCCCCAAUGUGAUGAUAUUUGGAGGCGGGGCCUUGGGACAUAAUUGGGGUAGGGUGAGGUCAUGAGGGUGAAAACCCCAUACUGGGAUUGGUGCCCUUAGAAAGGUAUAAAGGGACUGGAGCAUGCAGUUUCUCUCUCUCUCUCUCUCUGUUUCUCUCUCUCUCUCUCUCCCUCCGCCGUAUGAGCACGCAGCAAGAAAGCGGCUGUGUGGCAACCAGGAAGACAGCCUUUAUCAGAAUCCAGCCAUAUUGGUGCCCUGAUCUCAGACUUUCCAGCCUCCAGAACUGUAAGAAAUAGAUGUUCACUGUUUAAGUGCCCCAGUCUAUGGUAUUCUAUGAUAGCAGCCCAAACUGACUAAGACAUCAUUUCUUUUAUCAGAUGAGGAAACCAAUACAUAGAAAGACUUUUAAAUUUUCCCUAAACAAUGGAAGUACAUGCUAAGUGCAAUAGGGGUAUGUAGAAAAGAGUGUUCAGAUUUUAGGGAGAUUUCCAGAAAAGGCCUCUUCAUGCUGGAGAUGGCUUUUUUUAAAUAAUGGAAGGGAGUUCCCAAGGCAAUGGUUGAGCAGUGGAGUGGGAGCCCAGGUAAGAGUAUGCAGGUGGUAGAAACAAAAUAUUCUAAGACAGACGGGCACAAAACAGCAUGGCUUAUUUGGGGAACUACAAGUACCUCUAUGUUGCUGAUGCCUGAUGUUCUAGAGGACACAUUUCAAGGCAGGAACAAGCUGAGGGCAUAUCUCAACCUCCCCUUCCUCAGGGGCACUCAUCCUUCAUCCCUUUAGCAGUUUUACUCAGCAUUUGUUCUAGGAUGCCAGGCUGUGAGGUAAGACAGGUAAGUGAGACUCAGCCUCUACCCUCAGAGUUCACAAUCUAAUGGGAAAACUAAAUUAUCAUAAAGAUAGCAUUACAAAUGCAGUGCUUGACAUAUGCCUGGAGCACUAUGAGACUGUAGGUGAGAAGCAACGAAAAGAGGACAAUCCGGAGAAGGUAGCAGCUGUGCUGUCUCUUAAAGUCUGACCAGGUAGUCCAGGUGUUCCCUGUGUUUGAGGUCAAGGGGCAGCAGGAGAAGAUGCAACAGAAAAGCACACAGCACGAGCAAAGCCACAUAGCUGAAAAACAGCUAUCACCUGCAACAGCUUCUGCUGCUACAAUACCUGUACUCCUCUUAGAUUUUAUUCCAGUAUCAGCCAACAACGUGAUCUGACAGGACAGUCCCAGCCCUAGGAAAUGAACUAUGAUUCGUGCAGACCGAUCGAAGUCAUACCAUACAGCGAUGGAUUUGGGCAUGUGGGCCAGUUGGGAUCAAGGGAAAGGAAGCAUUUCCAUUUUGAUCAAUGGGGGGAUUCUGGGAAAGUCUUCUGCCCGUAAAAAGAAACAAGCCAGGAAAAACGUCCCCUUCCUCCCUGUAGACAUGGCUAUGAACGGCAGGAUGCCUGAAACUGUCCAGGCUUGUUAUGAUGGAGAGACACACUGCACAGGGUGGGGGAAAGGGGAAAUAUACCCUAAGAAUGGUAGACCAGAAAGAUGUAAAGCAUCUGUAUCCUUGUUGAAAUUAUAGUGCCUCCCAAUUAACAUACCUAGAACUGUUUACCUCUGGACAUUUCAUUAUGUGAGAUAUUAAAGACCUGUGUAUUUGAAGCCUCUG
rnacentral:lncRNA from 10 species